rnacentral:rRNA from 1 species
UGAGGAAUAUUGGUCAAUGGGCGAGAGCCUGAACCAGCCAAGUAGCGUGCAGGAUGACGGCCCUAUGGGUUGUAAACUGCUUUUAUAUGGGAAUAAAGUGAGGGACGUGUCCCUUAUUGCAUGUACCAUAUGAAUAAGGACCGGCUAAUUCCGUGCCAGCAGCCGCGGUAAUACGGAAGGUCCAGGCGUUAUCCGGAUUUAUUGGGUUUAAAGGGAGCGUAGGCCGUUUGGUAAGCGUGUUGUGAAAUGUAGGAGCUCAACUUCUAGAUUGCAGCGCGAACUGUCAGACUUGAGUGCGCACAACGUAGGCGGAAUUCAUGGUGUAGCGGUGAAAUGCUUAUAUAUCAUGAAGAACUCCGAUUGCGAAGGCAGCUUACGGGAGCGCAACUGACGCUGAAGCUCGAAGGUGCGGGUAUCGAACAGG